GACGAACGCUGGCGGCGUGCUUAACACAUGCAAGUCGAACGGAAAGGCCUCUUUCGGGGGGUACUCGAGUGGCGAACGGGUGAGUAACACGUGAGUAACCUGCCCUUGACUUUGGGAUAACUUCAGGAAACUGGGGCUAAUACCGGAUAGGAGCUCCUGCUGCAUGGUGGGGGUUGGAAAGUUUCGGCGGUUGGGGAUGGACUCGCGGCUUAUCAGCUUGUUGGUGGGGUAGUGGCUUACCAAGGCUUUGACGGGUAGCCGGCCUGAGAGGGUGACCGGCCACAUUGGGACUGAGAUACGGCCCAGACUCCUACGGGAGGCAGCAGUGGGGAAUAUUGCACAAUGGGUGGAAGCCUGAUGCAGCUACGCCGUGUGCGGGAUGACGGCCUUCGGGUUGUAAACCGCUUUCGCUCAUGACGAAGCUUUGUGUGACGGUAGUGGGUAAAGAAGCACCGGCUAACUACGUG
rnacentral:rRNA from 1 species